rnacentral:rRNA from 1 species
AGACGGGGCCCGCACAAGCCAGCGGAGCGUGUGGUUUAAUUCGAUUGCAACGCGAAGAACCUUACCAAGGCUUGACAUGCCAGAAGUAGGAACUUGAAAGAGAGACCACCUGUAUUCAGUCAGGAACUGGCACAGGUGCUGCAUGGCUGUCGUCAGCUCGUGCCGUGAGGUGUUAGGUUAAGUCCUGCAACGAGCGCAACCCUCGUCGCUAGUUAAAUUUUUCUAGCGACACUGCCCGUAAAACGAGGAGGAAGGUGGGGAUGACGUCAAGUCAGCAUGGCCCUUACGCCUUGGGCUACACACACGCUACAAUGGGUGAUACAACAGGUUGCGAAAGAGCGAUCUGGAGCUAAUCCCUAAAAUCAUCCUCAGUUCGGAUUGCAGGCUGAAACUGCCUGCAUGAAGUUGGAGUUGCUAGUAACCGCAGGUCAGCACACUGCGGUGAAUACGUUCUCGGGCCUU